ACGUUUAUCCACUCUCACAAUUUAUCUUCAAAAGAACAUAUAUCAUAUAUAUGUUGAUAGCAAAAUAAAAUGGAAAGGCAAAAAUUAGAGUGAGAGUGACGGAGAGGGAGAGUCCGAACCAAAGGGAGCCAGAGGAUGAGAAGGAGAGGAGAGGGGAAGGGAAGGAAGAGGCGUUGCCGGUGAUGAACACAGCCACCGUCACCGCUGUCUGACCGCCACACCAUCAAACCCUAGCCGUCAUAGAGGAGAGGGUGAUCGAAGUAGAGAAGCACCGCGUGAAGGAGGGAAGUUCCAUCGCCGGCGCUGCUGUUAGUGGAAGCCGCUACCACCGCAGCGGGGAAAACGAAAAUGGGAGAAGAGGUUUCGUUGAUGUUGUCAUAGAGGAAGAGGACGAGACGUGUGUGAGAGAGUGACGCACCGAGGAGGGACCAUUCCUCUGCCGAGGCCGCCGCCGGAAUUUCUGGUUGCCGCCAUGAUUAAUGGUGAGUCAGUUAAACCCUAGCCAUGAGAACCACCAUCUCUGAACCUUUAUUGCUCUGUAAAUACCUUGUAUCUGCCUCUGAUGUCCUUGGUUAUAUGAUGUUUGCUGGAGUUUGUCCCAAUUGGAGCCACUGGUGAAGGUGUUGCCGCUGCCGGAAGCCAACGCCGGGCUGUUGCUGGUUCUGAUUCUAUUAUCUUGGGCUGUUUCUGCCCUUGACUACAUUAGAUUCAAAUUCUUGUCCUGCUGUAACCAUCAUCAUUGCCGCGAAAUUAAAGCUGUUGCUGUUCCAGCGGUGUCCUUGAUUGCAUUAGGAUUGUUGUCACUGCUGUAAAUUAGAAACAAAAUGGGGGCAGUUGUGUUCAAAUUCUGCAAUUGCGACAUUGAGUGACAGGUUUGAAGACGCAAUUUGAACCUGCGAGCGAUUAGUAGGCUUUCUUUAUGGUUUUAAUUGCUUUCAUAGAGUCUCCUCGCUCUUGUCCUUUGAGGUUUUAUUUUAACAGAGGGGUAGGUGUUGUAUUUGGGUUUAUAUGACUUCUUAUGUAUAAGAAUUACUAUUAAUAAUACUUAUGUGAUUGUUAUUAUUAUUUGCAAUGUUUAUCCUUGAU